rnacentral:rRNA from 1 species
CAGCCGCCGCGGUAAUACGAAGGGGGCUAGCGUUGUUCGGAUUUACUGGGCGUAAAGCGCACGUAGGCGGAUCGAUCAGUCAGGGGUGAAAUCCCAGAGCUCAACUCUGGAACUGCCUUUGAUACUGUCGAUCUGGAGUAUGGAAGAGGUGAGUGGAAUUCCGAGUGUAGAGGUGAAAUUCGUAGAUAUUCGGAGGAACACCAGUGGCGAAGGCGGCUCACUGGUCCAUUACUGACGCUGAGGUGCGAAAGCGUGGGGAGCAAACAGGAUUAGAUACCCGCGUAGUCCCUGUCUCUUAUAU